rnacentral:rRNA from 1 species
UACGUAGGGUGCAAGCGUUCAUCGGAAUUACUGGGCGUAAAGCGUGCGCAGGCGGUUGUGUAAGUCUGACGUGAAAUCCCCGGGCUUAACCUGGGAAUGGCGUUGGAGACUGCACGGCUAGAGUGUGUCAGAGGGGGGUAGAAUUCCACGUGUAGCAGUGAAAUGCGUAGAUAUGUGGAGGAAUACCGAUGGCGAAGGCAGCCCCCUGGGAUAACACUGACGCUCAUGCACGAAAGCGUGGGGAGCAAACAGG